GGGUUGUGAGGUUAAGCGACUAAGCGUACACGGUGGAUGCCCUGGCAGUCAGAGGCGAUGAAGGACGUGCUAAUCUGCGAUAAGCGUCGGUAAGGUGAUAUGAACCGUUAUAACCGGCGAUUUCCGAAUGGGGAAACCCAGUGUGAUUCGUCACACUAUCAUUAACUGAAUCCAUAGGUUAAUGAGGCGAACCGGGGGAACUGAAACAUCUAAGUACCCCGAGGAAAAGAAAUCAACCGAGAUUCCCCCAGUAGCGGCGAGCGAACGGGGAGCAGCCCAGAGCCUGAAUCAGUGUGUGUGUUAGUGGAAGCGUCUGGAAAGGCGCGCGAUACAGGGUGACAGCCCCGUACACAAAAAUGCACAUGCUGUGAGCUCGAUGAGUAGGGCGGGACACGUGGUAUCCUGUCUGAAUAUGGGGGGACCAUCCUCCAAGGCUAAAUACUCCUGACUGACCGAUAGUGAACCAGUACCGUGAGGGAAAGGCGAAAAGAACCCCGGCGAGGGGAGUGAAAAAGAACCUGAAACCGUGUACGUACAAGCAGUGGGAGCACGCUUAGGCGUGUGACUGCGUACCUUUUGUAUAAUGGGUCAGCGACUUAUAUUCUGUAGCAAGGUUAACCGAAUAGGGGAGCCGAAGGGAAACCGAGUCUUAACUGGGCGUUAAGUUGCAGGGUAUAGACCCGAAACCCGGUGAUCUAGCCAUGGGCAGGUUGAAGGUUGGGUAACACUAACUGGAGGACCGAACCGACUAAUGUUGAAAAAUUAGCGGAUGACUUGUGGCUGGGGGUGAAAGGCCAAUCAAACCGGGAGAUAGCUGGUUCUCCCCGAAAGCUAUUUAGGUAGCGCCUCGUGAAUUCAUCUCCGGGGGUAGAGCACUGUUUCGGCAAGGGGGUCAUCCCGACUUACCAACCCGAUGCAAACUGCGAAUACCGGAGAAUGUUAUCACGGGAGACACACGGCGGGUGCUAACGUCCGUCGUGAAGAGGGAAACAACCCAGACCGCCAGCUAAGGUCCCAAAGUCAUGGUUAAGUGGGAAACGAUGUGGGAAGGCCCAGACAGCCAGGAUGUUGGCUUAGAAGCAGCCAUCAUUUAAAGAAAGCGUAAUAGCUCACUGGUCGAGUCGGCCUGCGCGGAAGAUGUAACGGGGCUAAACCAUGCACCGAAGCUGCGGCAGCGACGCUGAUGCGUUGUUGGGUAGGGGAGCGUUCUGUAAGCCUGUGAAGGUGUGCUGUGAGGCAUGCUGGAGGUAUCAGAAGUGCGAAUGCUGACAUAAGUAACGAUAAAGCGGGUGAAAAGCCCGCUCGCCGGAAGACCAAGGGUUCCUGUCCAACGUUAAUCGGGGCAGGGUGAGUCGACCCCUAAGGCGAGGCCGAAAGGCGUAGUCGAUGGGAAACAGGUUAAUAUUCCUGUACUUGGUGUUACUGCGAAGGGGGGACGGAGAAGGCUAUGUUGGCCGGGCGACGGUUGUCCCGGUUUAAGCGUGUAGGCUGGUUUUCCAGGCAAAUCCGGAAAAUCAAGGCUGAGGCGUGAUGACGAGGCACUACGGUGCUGAAGCAACAAAUGCCCUGCUUCCAGGAAAAGCCUCUAAGCAUCAGGUAACAUCAAAUCGUACCCCAAACCGACACAGGUGGUCAGGUAGAGAAUACCAAGGCGCUUGAGAGAACUCGGGUGAAGGAACUAGGCAAAAUGGUGCCGUAACUUCGGGAGAAGGCACGCUGAUAUGUAGGUGAAGUCCCUCGCGGAUGGAGCUGAAAUCAGUCGAAGAUACCAGCUGGCUGCAACUGUUUAUUAAAAACACAGCACUGUGCAAACACGAAAGUGGACGUAUACGGUGUGACGCCUGCCCGGUGCCGGAAGGUUAAUUGAUGGGGUCAGCGCAAGCGAAGCUCUUGAUCGAAGCCCCGGUAAACGGCGGCCGUAACUAUAACGGUCCUAAGGUAGCGAAAUUCCUUGUCGGGUAAGUUCCGACCUGCACGAAUGGCGUAAUGAUGGCCAGGCUGUCUCCACCCGAGACUCAGUGAAAUUGAACUCGCUGUGAAGAUGCAGUGUACCCGCGGCAAGACGGAAAGACCCCGUGAACCUUUACUAUAGCUUGACACUGAACAUUGAGCCUUGAUGUGUAGGAUAGGUGGGAGGCUUUGAAGUGUGGACGCCAGUCUGCAUGGAGCCGACCUUGAAAUACCACCCUUUAAUGUUUGAUGUUCUAACGUUGACCCGUAAUCCGGGUUGCGGACAGUGUCUGGUGGGUAGUUUGACUGGGGCGGUCUCCUCCUAAAGAGUAACGGAGGAGCACGAAGGUUGGCUAAUCCUGGUCGGACAUCAGGAGGUUAGUGCAAUGGCAUAAGCCAGCUUGACUGCGAGCGUGACGGCGCGAGCAGGUGCGAAAGCAGGUCAUAGUGAUCCGGUGGUUCUGAAUGGAAGGGCCAUCGCUCAACGGAUAAAAGGUACUCCGGGGAUAACAGGCUGAUACCGCCCAAGAGUUCAUAUCGACGGCGGUGUUUGGCACCUCGAUGUCGGCUCAUCACAUCCUGGGGCUGAAGUAGGUCCCAAGGGUAUGGCUGUUCGCCAUUUAAAGUGGUACGCGAGCUGGGUUUAGAACGUCGUGAGACAGUUCGGUCCCUAUCUGCCGUGGGCGCUGGAGAACUGAGGGGGGCUGCUCCUAGUACGAGAGGACCGGAGUGGACGCAUCACUGGUGUUCGGGUUGUCAUGCCAAUGGCACUGCCCGGUAGCUAAAUGCGGAAGAGAUAAGUGCUGAAAGCAUCUAAGCACGAAACUUGCCCCGAGAUGAGUUCUCCCUGACUCCUUGAGAGUCCUGAAGGAACGUUGAAGACGACGACGUUGAUAGGCCGGGUGUGUAAGCGCAGCGAUGCGUUGAGCUAACCGGUACUAAUGAACCGUGAGGCUUAACCUUACAACGCCGAAGGUGUUU
rnacentral:rRNA from 1 species